UUGUCGCAUUUUUGGUAGGGUGAUGACGACAACCAUGGGAGGAUGCAUUGGAUGGCUUGGUAGAAAAUGUGUGUCCCAAAAAACCAAGGUGGUAUGGGAUUUCGUGAUAUCCAUUGUUUUAACCUGGCGUUGCUGGCUAAACAUGCUUGGCGUCUUCUUGAGAACCCAGAUUCUUUAUGUGCCAGGAUAUUGAGAGCCAAAUAUUUUGCUGAUGGAGAUUUAUUGAAUGCAAAGCUUAAGAAGGGGUCUUCCUUCACAUGGCAAAGUAUUAUGUCGGGAGUUAGUACUCUGAAGAAUGGGUACAUUUGGCGAGUUGGAAAUGGUCAGUCCAUUAAUAUUUGGGACGAUGCUUGGAUUCCUAAUUGUGCUACCAGGAAAGUCAUCACUCCAAAGAGGGGUCAUUUGUUGUCAAAGGUGUCGGAUCUUAUUGACCCCACAUCAAACAACUGGCAUGAAGAUCUCGUAAAUCAAACUUUGUGGCCCAUUGAUGCUCAUCGGAUCCUCGCGAUCCCUCUCCCAUAA
rnacentral:rRNA from 1 species